rnacentral:rRNA from 1 species
CAGUAGCCACGGUAAAACGAAGGGUGCAAGCGUUAAUCGGAAUUACUGGGCGUAAAGCGUGCGUAGGCGGUGAGUUAAGUCUGCUGUGAAAUCCCCGGGCUCAACCUGGGAAUGGCAGUGGAUACUGGCUCGCUAGAGUGUGUCAGAGGAUGGUGGAAUUCCCGGUGUAGCGGUGAAAUGCGUAGAGAUCGGGAGGAACAUCAGUGGCGAAGGCGGCCAUCUGGGACAACACUGACGCUGAGGCACGAAAGCGUGGGGAGCAAACAGGAUUAGAUACCCGCGUAGUCCCUGUCUCUUAUAA